GAUGAACGCUGGCGGCGUGCCUAAUACAUGCAAGUCGAGCGAACAGACGAGGAGCUUGCUCCUUUGACGUUAGCGGCGGACGGGUGAGUAACACGUGGGUAACCUACCUAUAAGACUGGGAUAACUUCGGGAAACCGGAGCUAAUACCGGAUAAUAUUUCGAACCGCAUGGUUCGAUAGUGAAAGAUGGCUUUGCUAUCACUUAUAGAUGGACCUGCGCCGUAUUUGCUAGUUGGUAAGGUAACGGCUUACCAAGGCAACGAUACGUAGCCGACCUGAGAGGGUGAUCGGCCACACUGGAACUGAGACACGGUCCAGACUCCUACGGGAGGCAGCAGUAGGGAAUCCUCCGCAAUGGGCGAAAGCCUGACGGAGCAACGCCGCGUGAGUGAUGAAGGUCUUCGGAUCGUAAAACUCUGUUAUUAGGGAAGAACAAACGUGUAAGUAACUGUGCACGUCUUGACGGUACCUAAUCAGAAAGCCACGGCUAACUACGUG
rnacentral:rRNA from 1 species